AGUGCGGGAAAUGUUUCAAUCAAAGCUCUGCCCUUAUCACACAUCGGAGAAUCCACACAGUUGGAGACCUCCCGGCCUUUCUAUUCGAUUGGGAUGUAACAGUGCAGCUCAGUGAGGGUGUGAACACCUCUGAAAUCUACAACGGGAAGAUGCUAGGAAGAAUAGUUCCCAAAUCUUAACAGCCUUAAAACCCUGCCCUAUGAAAUGACAGAAUGCAUGCGCCUCACCUGUGCAAGCAUCACAAGGAAUUGAGUGGUCAGAUACGUAUUGUUCAGCGAGAGCUGUUUGAAUUCUUUUACUAAUGUCUCUCUUAAGGUCUGUAUGUGUUCUGGGGCGAGAGGGCGAGGAGAAGUAUUAGCUACAGAACAGUGAAAUCUAAGGAGAAAACUGUAAUUAGCUUUGAGGUUGUGAGCUAAAUGUCAGCAAUGAUUACGUUUCGGCAUUGAAAUAUUCAGCUGGGUAAAUCUGGGUUGCAGGGCCUGGGUGAAAAAUCUCUGGGGUUUCGGCGUCACUAAAUGUGCACCUGCCUCUUUGGGUUGCUCUUUCAGGAUUUAUAGGGGUUGGUUUUUCUGCUGUAUUAAUCUGAUGGUUGGACUAAAUUGAUGACUUGAUUCCAGCGCAAUAUCCUUGUUAACUCAUUGAUUUCCUGAUUUGACCUGAACUUUAUCACUGUGUUGUUUAACCCUUAGCUGAGUGGUGUCUAUAGUCAUUUAGCCUCAGUGACGUGCACUCUUGGGAUUAUUUGUUCAUGUUAAUAAAACCUGUAACUGGGAAA